rnacentral:rRNA from 1 species
AACAAACGCUGGCGGCGUGUCUUAAGCAUGCAAGUUGAGCGGCAAGGAGGAGAGAUCCUCCCUAGAGCGGCGGACUGGUGAGUAACGCGUGGGUAAUCUAUCUUAGGCAUGGGGAUAGUCACUAGAAAUAGUGGGUAAUACCGAAUAAGUUCCAUAAGGGGAGGACUUAUGGAAGAAAGGUGCUACGGCACUGGCCUUAGGUGAGCUCGCGUCCCAUUAGCUAGUUGGUGAGGUAAAGGCCCACCAAGGCGAUGAUGGGUAGCCGGCCUGAGAGGGUGUACGGCCACACUGGGACUGAGAUACGGCCCAGACUCCUACGGGAGGCAGCAGCUAAGAAUAUUCCGCAAUGGACGGAAGUCUGACGGAGCGACGCCGCGUGGAUGAAGAAGGCCGAAAGGUUGUAAAGUUCUUUUGCUAGGGGAGAAUAAGUGUGGGAGGGAAUGCCUGCACGAUGACAAGGACUAGCGAAUAAGUCCCGGCCAACUACGUGCCAGGAGCCGCGGUAAACACG